GAUGAAGAAACGUAGCGAAAUGCGAUAAGUAAUGCGAAUUGCAGAAUUUCCGUGAGUCAUCGAAUCUUUGAACGCACAUUGCGCCCUUUGGUAUUCCGAAGGGCAUGCCUGUUCGAGCGUCAUUAUCACAGUUCAAACCCCGGGUUUGGUGUUGGACCAAUGUUGGGUCGACCAACUGGUCUUAAAGACAAUGACGGCGUCCGUGGGACCCUCAGUGCAACGAGCUUUCACAAGCACGCAUUGAGUUACAAGGACCCUCCGGGCCGGUCUACUUUUACAUUUUCUGAAAGUUGACCUCGGAUCAGGUAGGAAUACCCGCUGAACUUAAGCAUAUCAAUAAGCGGAGGA
rnacentral:misc_RNA from 1 species